AUUGAACGCUGGCGGCAGGCCUUACACAUGCAAGUCGAACGGUAGAGGGGGCAACCCCUUGAGAGUGGCGAACGGGUGAGUAAUAUAUCGGAACGUGCCCAGUCGUGGGGAUAACGUAGCGAAAGUUACGCUAAUACCGCAUACGAUCUACGGAUGAAAGCGGGGGACUCGCAAGAGCCUCGCGCGAUUGGAGCGGCCGAUAUCAGAUUAGGUAGUUGGUGAGGUAAAGGCUCACCAAGCCGACGAUCUGUAGCUGGUCUGAGAGGACGACCAGCCACACUGGGACUGAGACACGGCCCAGACUCCUACGGGAGGCAGCAGUGGGGAAUUUUGGACAAUGGGCGCAAGCCUGAUCCAGCAAUGCCGCGUGCAGGAUGAAGG
rnacentral:rRNA from 1 species